CCUACGGGAGGCAGCAGUGGGGAAUAUUGCACAAUGGGGGGAACCCUGAUGCAGCGACGCCGCGUGGGUGAGGAAGUACUUCGGUAUGUAAAGCCCUAUCAGCAGGGAAGAAAAUGACGGUACCUGACUAAGAAGCCCCGGCUAACUACGUGCCAGCAGCCGCGGUAAUACGUAGGGGGCAAGCGUUAUCCGGAUUUACUGGGUUUAAAGGGUGCGCAGGCGGCGAGUUAAGUCAGCGGUAAAAUUU
rnacentral:rRNA from 1 species